AUAAUCAAUGAGGCAUAAGUUAACAGAUUCUAUUAAAGGAAAGAUUUUUUUCUUAAUUCCCAAAGGCUCUAGUUACUAUUUAGGAGUGACUGAAGAGUAGUUUUGAAGAGUGUGUAAAAUAUGCCUUUUGACCACCUCUUGUCUCCUUCAUUUUAACUUUUUUAAUGUCUGUCAGCCUCUCUUUGGUAUAUAUCAGAACUUUUAAAUAGGUCAUGUAGGCUCUUCAUUCAAGGAUGUGAGUCAAGGUUUGUGUACUAAACUCAACAGGUAAACAAUGACAGUGUGUCUGCUUUU
rnacentral:lncRNA from 1 species